GACGAACGCUGGCGGCGUGCUUAACACAUGCAAGUCGAACGGAAAGGCCCUGCUUUUGUGGGGUGCUCGAGUGGCGAACGGGUGAGUAACACGUGAGUAACCUGCCCUUGACUUUGGGAUAACUUCAGGAAACUGGGGCUAAUACCGGAUAGGAGCUCCUGCUGCAUGGUGGGGGUUGGAAAGUUUCGGCGGUUGGGGAUGGACUCGCGGCUUAUCAGCUUGUUGGUGGGGUAGUGGCUUACCAAGGCUUUGACGGGUAGCCGGCCUGAGAGGGUGACCGGCCACAUUGGGACUGAGAUACGGCCCAGACUCCUACGGGAGGCAGCAGUGGGGAAUAUUGCACAAUGGGCGGAAGCCUGAUACAGCAACGCCGCGUGCGGGAAGACGGCCUUCGGGGUGUAAACCGCUUUCGCCUGUGACGAAGCGUGAGUGACGGUAAUGGGUAAAGAAGCACCGGCUAACUACGUG
rnacentral:rRNA from 1 species